rnacentral:misc_RNA from 1 species
GAUGAAGAACGUAGCGAAAUGCGAUAAGUAAUGCGAAUUGCAGAAUUCCAGUGAGUCAUCGAAUCUUUGAACGCACAUUGCGCCCUUUGGUAUUCCGAAGGGCAUGCCUGUUCGAGCGUCAUUAUCACCCCUCAAGCCCUCGGCUUGGUGUUGGACGGUUUGGUGGAGGCCCCCUCGGGGGUUCCUGCCCCUCCCAAAGACAAUGACGGCGGCCUCGUUGGACCCCCGGUACACUGAGUUCUUCACGGGACACGUAUCGGACACAUGGGUUUACGGGACACGGUCUGCCUCCCCUCAGGGAGAAUCUUUCUAAGGUUGACCUCGGAUCAGGUAGGGAUACCCGCUGAACUUAAGAAUAUCAAUAAGCGGAGGA